ACAGCAAUUCGUUCUGUCGCUGUAUGGAUAAGAUUCAUACAGAGGAAAGUCCGGACAACAUAGAGCACCAUACUUCCUAACGGGAAGGGCUUGUGAAAACAAGUACAGAUAGUGCCACAGAAAAUAACCGCCUUGCAAAAGGUAAGGGUGAAAACGUGAGGUAAGGGCUCACGCUAUAAACAGGUGACUGUUUAUAGGGGCAAACCUUAUGGGUUGUAAGACCAUGUAGACCGAGGCUAAAGGGUUGCUCGCCCAAUCUCGGAGGGUAGGUCGCUUGAGGUGUUUAGUGAUAAACAUCCUAGAUAAAUGACAGAAGUUUUGAGUAAUCAAAAUACAGAAUCCGGCUUAUAGAAUUGCUGUUUUU
rnacentral:RNase_P_RNA from 1 species